ACUCAAAUGAAUUGACGGGGGCCCGCACAAGCGGUGGAACAUGUGGUUUAAUUCGAAGCAACGCGAAGAACCUUACCAGGACUUGACAUCUACAGAAUCUUUAGGAAACUAGAGAGUGCCUUUCGGGGAACUGUAAGACAGGUGGUGCAUGGUUGUCGUCAGCUCGUGUCGUGAGAUGUUGGGUUAAGUCCCGCAACGAGCGCAACCCUCGUGGUUAGUUACCUUGCAGAGCAUGCUCUGCAAGUUCUGUCUAGCCAGACUGCCGGUGAUAAACCGGAGGAAGGUGGGGAUGACGUCAAAUCAUCAUGCCCCUUAUGUCCUGGGCUACACACGUGUUACAAUGGGUGGAACAACGAGCAGCCAGCCGGCGACGGUGAGCAAAUCUCUUAAAUCCAUCCUCAGUUCGGAUAGUAGUCUGCAACUCGACUACUUGAAGUCGGAAUCGCUAGUAACCGCAGAUCAGCACGCUGCGGUGAAUACGUUCCCGGGCCUUGUACACACCGCCCGU
rnacentral:rRNA from 1 species